rnacentral:tRNA from 1 species
GAGGGUAUAGCUCAGUGGUAGAGUGCAUGCCUGGCAUGCACGAGGUUCUGAGCUCAUUCCCAAGUACUUCCA